UUAUACCCAUGGGGGUGCCCGGUACCGGCAAAUCGCAGCCGAUUUUAAGCUGGCAUGACGGGCCAUGGUUCUCUUGUGUUCGUGGGAAGUGCCGGGCUGAGAAAAGCGUUUCUCGCUUUACCCUUUGAACCUGAUCUGGAUCAUACCAGCGUAGGGAAAUGGGUAACCGGUAGCG
rnacentral:ncRNA from 2 species